rnacentral:rRNA from 1 species
AUGGCGAUCCGCGGCCCGGACGCCGCGUCCGUCCUCCCCAUGACGCUGCUCUUCUCCCUCGGCUUCUUCUGCGCCCGCUUCGUCCUCGACCGCCUACUGUACAAGCCGUUGGCAGUUUACCUUUUCACUAGCAAGGCUUCUAAGUUGAUGAAUGAUGAGGCCAGGCAAGCAAAGAUUGUCAAGUUCUCAGAGUCUACUUGGAAGCUGACAUACUAUGCUUCUGUUCAGGCAUGGGUCCUAUUGAUAAUAAAGCAGGAACCAUGGUCGUUGGAUACAUUGCAAUACUUCGAUGGCUGGCCAAAUCAACCCAUCCCGUCCUCAUUGAGACUUUUCUACAUGUGCCAGUGUGGAUUUUAUAUCUACAGCAUUUUUGCUCUCAUUGCCUGGGAAACCCGCAGAAAAGAUUUUGCUGUGAUGAUGUCUCAUCAUGUAGUAACAUCUGUUCUUAUUGGAUAUUCAUUUCUGACUGGAUUUUUUCGAAUUGGGACAAUUAUUCUUGCGUUGCAUGACGCGAGUGACGUGUUCCUUGAAACUGCCAAAUUGUGCAAGUACACUGAAAAAGAACUAGGGGCUAGCUUAUUUUUUGGGCUUUUUGCUCUCUCUUGGCUCCUGCUACGUCUGAUUUACUUCCCAUUUUGGAUAAUCAAAACCUCAAGCUACCAGUCUAUCAUAUCCUUGAGGAAGCUGGAUAGGUUCCCAACGACCUUGUACUACGUUUUCAACACAAUGCUUCUCACAUUACUUGUGUUUCAUGUAUAUUGGGGGAAACUCAUAUUUUUAAUGAUAAUGAAACAAUUGAAUUGA